GCUGGCGGCGUGCCUAAUACAUGCAAGUAGAACGCUGAAGACUGGUGCUUGCACUAGUCAGAUGAGUUGCGAACGGGUGAGUAACGCGUAGGUAACCUACCUCAUAGCGGGGAUAACUAUUGGAAACGAUAGCUAAUACCGCAUGACAAUUAAGUACUCAUGUACUAAAUUUAAAAGGAGCAAUUGCUUCACUAUGAGAUGGACCUGCGUUGUAUUAGCUAGUUGGUGAGGUAACGGCUCACCAAGGCCACGAUACAUAGCCGACCUGAGAGGGUGAUCGGCCACACUGGGACUGAGACACGGCCCAGACUCCUACGGGAGGCAGCAGUAGGGAAUCUUCGGCAAUGGGGGCAACCCUGACCGAGCAACGCCGCGUGAGUGAAGAAGGUUUUCGGAUCGUAAGCUCUGUUGUUAGAGAAGAACGGUAAUGGGAGUGGAAAAUCCAUUACGUGACGGUAACUAACCAGAAAGGGACGGCUAACUACGUGCCAGCAGCCGCGGUAAUACGUAGGUCUCGAGCGUUGUCCGGAUUUAUUGGGCGUAAAGCGAGCGCAGGCGGUUAUUUAAGUCUGAAGUUAAAGGCCGUGGCUCAACCAUGGUUCGCUUCGGAAACUGGAUAACUUGAGUGCAGAAGGGGAGAGUGGAAUUCCAUGUGUAGCGGUGAAAUGCGUAGAUAUAUGGAGGAACACCGGUGGCGAAAGCGGCUCUCUGGUCUGUAACUGACGCUGAGGCUCGAAAGCGU
rnacentral:rRNA from 1 species